GACGAACGCUGGCGGCGUGCUUAACACAUGCAAGUCGAACGAUGAAGCCUAGCUUGCUAGGUGGAUUAGUGGCGAACGGGUGAGUAAUACGUGAGUGACCUACCUUUGACUCUGGGAUAAGCCUGGGAAACUGGGUCUAAUACCGGAUACGACCAAUCUCCGCAUGGGGUGUUGGUGGAAAGCGUUAUGGAGUGGUUUUAGAUGGGCUCACGGCCUAUCAGCUUGUUGGUGAGGUAAUGGCUUACCAAGGCGACGACGGGUAGCCGGCCUGAGAGGGUGACCGGCCACACUGGGACUGAGACACGGCCCAGACUCCUACGGGAGGCAGCAGUGGGGAAUAUUGCACAAUGGGCGCAAGCCUGAUGCAGCGACGCCGCGUGAGGGAUGACGGCCUUCGGGUUGUAAACCUCUGUUAGCAUCGAAGAAGC
rnacentral:rRNA from 1 species